UUAUUAAAGUUUCUCUAGAUUUAAGAAUAUAAAGAUGCAAGUUGGGCUGUUUGGGAGAGUAAACAAGACCACACUCCACAGUGGGCUAUACCACUUAGUAUAGUUCACUACUAUUUUGUGGCCUACAUU